CCCCGCUGCCCCCCGGGCGGAGGUUGUGCCUCGAAGCGGCCCGCCCUUGUGGUGAGGGACGCGGCGGGUAACGGGGUUUGCCUGCCUCCCCCUCGGGGGACCCUCGGCCCCGCGGGGUGCUGCCGGCUGGGCGCCUCCCGCCUCGGGGCUCCGGCGGGUCUGGUGCCCGGCUCCGUCCUUGGCCUGCCGGCCGCCGCGGGGCAGCGGCGUCGCGCCCGUUGGUCCUCUCCCUCGGCCCCUGCUUCCCCUUCCAUUGCCCGUCUUCGUUCCCACCUUUGUGUCCCGAGCUGACGUAACCCGGGUCAGUUUUGCCGCUUCUUUUGCCAUUCAGGGCAGCAGCGAGAUGACUGCUGUGACCCAAAAGUCUGCUUUCUGUUUUUUUUUUAAUUACUAUUUUUUGGCCGCUGCUUGACAUGACUGAUGGCAGCAGCGUGAGCCAGCCCUCGGCAGAUUCACUUUCCGAAAUGGAAAGCUGUCUGGUUUAAAGACCUCUGACUCAUCAAGGGAACAAACAAUUCGAUCACGUGCGAGGGCUCAGAAACGCCCAAAUGCUGAAGGACCCGGGUGAGUCUGGGGAGGCCUCGGCGGGAGGCGCGACUGGGUCCUUCCAAACUGUCUCGUAGGUGAUGGCUGCCGCCGUGGGGUACGCGCGCCUCGAGGAGAAGCAGCUCCCCAGCCAAGGGGGCACUGCGACCUGGAAGCCCAGGAAAGAAUGUUUACCGAAGAAUAUUCCAAAUAUUGCUGAUAGCGAGGCUCAAGAAAGUGAAUUCUCUGAUAUAUCUCACUAUGAAAAAGAUGUUAGUGGAUCUUCAGUUGAAUCUGCUCACUUCUGCUCUGAUCUGGAAGACUGGGAUGGUGAAGCAUCCAGUGUGCCUGGGGCUGCAGUUUUUCCUGAGCUUCAAACUGCUGCUGAGUAUGAGGUGGAGGAUUGGGAUAAAGAGUUGGAAGAUUCUGAAUUUAAUCCUUAUGUUCUGUAUUCUUCAAACAAGCCAUUAUUUUCCCAGGCUGAAACACCUUUUAUCUUCUGAUUUGGACAGUAUGUGCAAAAAGAAAAAUUAAUCAUGUUGGAGACUCUAUGAAGAAUAAUCACAGGAGAAGAUUUUUGAGGUUAUACUGACUUCUGAGAAUGCAACUUCUGGAUUAAAAAUAAGGUCUCUGAAGUAGGAGUUUUCUGUAAGAGUGAUUCGUGAAGCUUUUCGGAGCUGUAGUAAGUGUGAGUUUUCACUACAUACUGCGCCGCUGAUCUGUUGGGUGGUUCCACAUCUUGAGCAAGAAAUUCUCUUGAGAUCCCUCUGAUAGUUCUACCAAGUUCACAUAUAUGCAGACCUAGUAAAUAUA
rnacentral:lncRNA from 1 species